UUUAUGUUGUUUCCACUUUCUCAAAUCAUGUUCUACAUGGUGUGCAACUGAAUUAGUGUGUUUCUGUUAUUUUUCAAUUGUUUCUGAUCUGUUAUCAAUUUGUUGAUAAACCAAAUGCACAGAGUCACUUGGCUGCACUGAUUAGUUCCACCCCCCUCUCUCAUGUCCUUUUUUUUUUUUUGGGAACAGAAAUGCUUUCAAAAAUGAGCUGACAUUGUUAGAAAAGGUUUGGCAUCCUAAUAUGGUUCAGUUUGUGGGAGCUGCUACUCAGAAUAUACCCAUGAUGAUUGUUUCAGAGUACCAUCCAAAAGGAGAUUUGGCGAAUUACCUUCAAAAGAAAGGACGUUUACAGCCUUCUAAAGCUCUGAGAUUUGCUCUUGAUAUUGCUAGCCAGCUUGUUUUCACCACAUUGCAAAGUGGGACCGCACGGGACAACUUCCCGACAAAUCAACAAUCAUUGUUUGGCGGUCUGAAACACAAUGAAUGGUGAUUUGGAGUGUGAGCUAAUUUUAACUGCUAAUGUGUGCUACUUCUUCAUGAAUAUAAAAUUGCAGUUAGGUCCUCUUUAAGCUGGAUUGGGCUUGGGCUGACCCUCUGGUUGGAAUUGGUCAGGUCAAGUAUGGUUACCUGAUUUGGCAAUUCUGCUUCUAUCCUUGUGCUUCUCUGUUGGAAUGUAACUCUUUAGAGAUGGAAACCUCUUGUUACAAAUAUCAUGUGGAUGAACUUACUUGUUCAAACAAGUAUCUAUUUUCUCUUAUGCAAUGUGUUUCUAAAAUUUAUCAUCAUCACCAGAAAAAGGUAACAGUGUCUUUUUGCCAUUGUCUAAUCUUUUAUUUUCCCUUGAACAGCUUUUACCCUGCUUUCAGAGCUUGCUAGUUUCAAGUUAAAAUCCAUAUACACUGCAAUGAAUAAUUUAUAUUGCACAAAAUCUUCUUUCUUUGGGAAAUAAAAGAAGAACGUUAACAUGUCGGUUCAAA